rnacentral:misc_RNA from 1 species
GUAUGGUACCUUGAAAAUUGUUAUUGCUCAUGAAAAGGAACUCAAGGCUACUGCACAGACCAAGGUUACUUGGAAUAUUUCCAGACAACUCGUUUUGGGAAACAUCCAAUCCAUUCAAAUUGAAUAAAUUGCCUAUUUCAUUAGGGAAGGAUCCAACCAAAUGAUUUUGGGAUAGAUUUAGUUUUAUUAAUUUGGAAGAAGCUGGAAAAAGUUGUUUUGGUAUAGAUCCACUAAAAUUAUUACUUGAAAGAUGUAGAAAUAAUAGGCUAUGGCAAUUUCCAAAGCUGGAAGGGAUGUUGCCUUGCAAUUUGUUUCCGUCCAAUUGAAGCCUAAUCAGAGAUGAUAAGUUUCCAAUGGAUGAAGGAAUUUCUCCAAAUAAUCUAUUUCCAUCGAGAAAUAGUUCCUGUACUUUCAGAAGCUUACCGAUUUCCGUGGGAAUAGUUCCUGUAAUCUGAUUAUUUUGCAAGAUUAUUCUUGGUAAGUUAACAAGAUCAAAUAAGCCUAGGGGCAGGCUACCAGAUACUCGAUUACUCGCAAUUGCUAGCAUUCGAAGAGUGGAAGAGAGAUUGGCAACCAAAGUAGGCAAUGCUCCUGUAAACUGAUUAUGGGAUAAAUCCACAUAUUCCAAACUGCUACAGUUGGCCAUAGAUGUGAUGAAGUGUAAAUCAUCAUCAUAUCUUUGACCUCCAAGACUAUUUCUCGCUAAAUUAAGAUAUUGAAGCUGUUUAAGGAGUCCAAACUGGACAAGCACUUUCCCACUGAAAUUAUUGAAUUGUAAAGAAAUUGCUUGAAGUUUUGAGGCAUUGGAUAGUGAUAGUGGAAUUGAUCCACUGAGGUAGUUAUCAUGCAGUUGAAUUCUCCGUAGAUGAGGUAGGAGGAUGCCCAUGUCUAAUGGAAGAUUUCCAUGAAGCGAAUUACCACCCAUGGAGAAAAAAUUGAUGGAAGAAAUAUUAUAAAUGACUGGAGGGAUGAUACCUGAGACAUUGUUGUAACUAAGUUCGAUUGCGGACAAGUGAUUUAGUUGUCCCAGUGCAUCUGGAAUACCUCCACCAAGGAAAUUUGAAGGGACAGCCAAAGUUUCCAAUGAGCUCAGGUUCCCGAUAAAAGGUGGAAGGGCUCCCGUCAAGUAAUUGUCACCGAGCCAAAGUUGUCUAAGCUUAGACAAAUUGGCAAGCUCAAUUGGAAUGUUUCCUUCUAGCUUGUUCUUUUCUAAGACCAGCCACCUGAGGUUUGAACAGAGGGACAAGUUCAAUGGAAUUUUCCCUUCAAAUUGGUUGAGAAACAGCACUAAAACUUUCAGCCUAAACAACCGGCCAACUUCAGCUGGGAUUUUACCUUGGAGGCUGUUGUUGCCCAGUCUUAUCUCCCUAAGGAAACUCAUGUUUCCUAAAUAAGGAGACAAAGAACCCACCAAUCCUUUAGAUUGAAGAUCAAAAAUGGUGACUCUUUUGUGUUUGCGACCACAUGUGACACCUUCCCAGUUGCAAAAAUGGGCAGAAAGAUUCCAUGAACUCGUGGCAUUAUGAGGAUCUUGGACGAUCUUUGACUUGAAUUCUAAUAAAGCAAGACGAUCCGUCUCAUUCCCACCGACAGUUGUGGCAGCAUCAAUGGAGGGAGCUUUGAAGCUUAGCUGCAUAAGGAGCAAGAGGACAAUGCAUUCCUCGGAAAAUGGAAAGCAUACGCCCCUCAUUUCUGAACAAGCUGCCGUUGGAUUUUUU